rnacentral:rRNA from 1 species
UGCAGUCGAGCGAUGGAUUAAGAGCUUGCUCUUAUGAAGUUAGCGGCGGACGGGUGAGUAACACGUGGGUAACCUGCCCAUAAGACUGGGAUAACUCCGGGAAACCGGGGCUAAUACCGGAUAAAUUAAUUGAACUGCAUGGUUCGAAAUUGAAAGGCGGCUUCGGCUGUCACUUAUGGAUGGACCCGCGUCGCAUUAGCUAGUUGGUGAGGUAACGGCUCACCAAGGCAACGAUGCGUAGCCGACCUGAGAGGGUGAUCGGCCACACUGGGACUGAGACACGGCCCAAACUCCUACGGGAGGCAGCAGUAGGGAAUCUUCCGCAAUGGACGAAAGUCUGACGGAGCAACGCCGCGUGAGUGAUGAAGGCUUUCGGGUCGUAAAACUCUGUUGUUAGGGAAGAACAAGUGCUAGUUGAAUAAGCUGGCACCUUGACGGUACCUAACCAGAAAGCCACGGCUAACUACGUGCCAGCAGCCGCGGUAAUACGUAGGUGGCAAGCGUUAUCCGGAAUUAUUGGGCGUAAAGCGCGCGCAGGUGGUUUCGUAAGUCUGAUGUGAAAGCCCACGGCUCAACCGUGGAGGGUCAUUGGAAACUGGGAGACUUGAGUGCAGAAGAGGAAAGUGGAAUUCCAUGUGUAGCGGUGAAAUGCGUAGAGAUAUGGAGGAACACCAGUGGCGAAGGCGAGG